rnacentral:rRNA from 1 species
CCUACGGGGGGCAGCAGUGGGGAAUAUUGCGCAAUGGGCGAAAGCCUGACGCAGCGACGCCGCGUGAGGGAUGAAGGUCUUCGGAUCGUAAACCUCUGUCAGCAGGGAAGAACGGUCACUGUGCUAAUCAGCAGUGAAUUGACGGUACCUGCAAAGGAAGCACCGGCUAACUCCGUGCCAGCAGCCGCGGUAAUACGGAGGGUGCGAGCGUUAAUCGGAAUUACUGGGCGUAAAGCGCUCGUAGGCGGUAUGUCAAGUCAAGGGUGAAAUCCCCGCGCUCAACGUGGGAACUGCCUUUGAAACUGACAAACUGGAGUGUGUGAGAGGAUAGUGGAAUUCCAGGUGUAGGAGUGAAAGCCGUAGAUAUCUGGAGGAACAUCAGUGGCGAAGGCGACUAUCUGGCACAUAACUGACGCUGAGGAGCGAAAGCGUGGGUAGCAAACAGGAUUAGAUACCCUAGUAGUC